rnacentral:rRNA from 1 species
GAUGAACGCUGGCGGCGUGCCUAAUACAUGCAAGUCGAGCGAACAGACGAGGAGCUUGCUCCUCUGACGUUAGCGGCGGACGGGUGAGUAACACGUGGAUAACCUACCUAUAAGACUGGGAUAACUUCGGGAAACCGGAGCUAAUACCGGAUAAUAUAUUGAACCGCAUGGUUCAAUAGUGAAAGACGGUUUUGCUGUCACUUAUAGAUGGAUCCGCGCCGCAUUAGCUAGUUGGUAAGGUAACGGCUUACCAAGGCAACGAUGCGUAGCCGACCUGAGGGGGGGAUCGGCCACACUGGAACUGAGACACGGUCCAGACUCCUACGGGAGGCAGAAGUAGGGAAUCUUCCGCAAUGGGCGAAAGCCUGACGGAGAAACGCCGGGUGAGUGAUGAAGGUCUUCGGAUCGUAAAACUCUUUUAUUAGGGAAAAACAAAUGUGAAAGUAACUAUGCACGUCUUGGCGGUACCUAAUCAGAAAGCCGCGGCUAACUACGU